UUCCGGUUGAUCCUGCCGGACCUGACUGCUAUCGGAUUGAUACUAAGCCAUGCGAGUCUUUGUAGUAAUACAAGGCAUACGGCUCAGUAACGCGUAGUCAACCUACCCUAUGGACAAGAAUAAUCUCGGGAAACUGAGCAUAAUUCUUGAUAGAUCAUAAUGCCUGGAAUGGUUUAUGGUUAAAAUGAUUCGUCGCCAUAGGAUGGGACUGCGGCCUAUCAGCUUGUUGGUGAGGUAAUGGCCCACCAAGGCGAUAACAGGUACGGGCUCUGAGAGGAGAAGCCCGGAGAUGGGUACUGAGACAAGGACCCAGGCCCUAUGGGGCGCAGCAGGCGAGAAAACUUUGCAAUGUGCGAAAGCACGACAAGGUUAGUCCGAGUGAUUUCUGCUAAAGAGAUCUUUUGCUAGUUAUAAAACCACUAGUGAAUAAGGGGUGGGCAAGUUCUGGUGUCAGCCGCCGCGGUAAAACCAGCACCUCAAGUGGUCAGGAUGAUUAUUGGGCCUAAAGCAUCCGUAGCCGGCUCUGUAAGUUUUCGGUUAAAUCUAUGCGCUCAACGUAUGGGCUGCCGAAAAUACUGCAGAGAUAGGGAGUGGGAGAGGUAGACGGUACUCGGUAGGAAGGGGUAAAAUCCUUUGAUCUAUCGAUGACCACCUGUGGCGAAGGCGGUCUACCAGAACACGUUCGACGGUGAGGGAUGAAAGCUGGGGGAGCAAACCGGAUUAGAUACCCGGGUAGUCCCAGCUGUAAACGAUGCAGACUCGAUGAUGCAUUGGCAUAUAGCCAGUGCAGUGUCGCAGGGAAGCCGUUAAGUCUGCCGCCUGGGAAGUACGUACGCAAGUAUGAAACUUAAAGGAAUUGGCGGGGGAGCACCACAAGGGGUGAAGCCUGCGGUUCAAUUGGAUUCAACGCCGG
rnacentral:rRNA from 1 species